UUGCUAUUUGGCACGCAUGCUUAUAUUCCACGAGAGUAUUUUUAAUGCAAUAUGUCUUUAGUAGUUUUGCGACAAUCUUUAUAUUUUACCUAAAAUCUCUGUCGAAAAAUAAAACAUUUUUAAAAUCCAAAAUCCUGAAAAAAUCCUUGGAUGGUCUCAGAAGGGUCCUCAGGUGAAGGAUUAUCUGGUGUUAAAGUCGUAUUUCCUAUGGUAUAUAUCUGCUUUGAAGGAGAAUUAACCAGCCGUGCAUGGGAAACAGCAGAUGGGUUGAAAAAAUGACAUACUGACUGAGAUAUUUUACAUCAGGAGGAAAGUGUGGAUCAGAUGACAUAUGAGAGGUCUUAUCAAUAGGGUGAUAUACAACUGGACUGGGUACUUAUCAAUGGGAUGAUAUACAACUGGAGUGUGAACAUGU